rnacentral:rRNA from 1 species
ACCAGACUCCUACGGGAGGCAGCAGUGGGGGAUAUUGCACAAUGGGGGGAACCCUGAUGCAGCGACGCCGCGUGGGUGAAGAAGCGCCUCGGCGCGUAAAGCCCUGUCAGCAGGGAAGAAAAUGACGGUACCUGAAGAAGAAGCCCCGGCUAACUACGUGCCAGCAGCCGCGGUAAUACGUAGGGGGCAAGCGUUAUCCGGAUUUACUGGGUGUAAAGGGGGCGCAGACGGCGAUGCAAGCCAGGAGUGAAAGCCCGGGGCCCAACCCCGGGACUGCUCUUGGAACUGCGUGGCUGGAGUGCAGGAGGGGCAGGCGGAAUUCCUGGUGUAGCGGUGAAAUGCGUAGAUAUCAGGAGGAACACCGGUGGCGAAGGCGGCCUGCUGGACUGCAACUGACGUUGAGGCCCGAAAGCGUGGGGAGCAAACAGGAUUAGAUACCCGAGUAUU